rnacentral:rRNA from 1 species
CCUACGGGAGGCAGUAGUGGGGAAUAUUGGACAAUGGGCGAAAGCCUGAUCCAGCCAUGCCGCGUGUGUGAAGAAGGCCUUCGGGUUGUAAAGCACUUUCAGUGGGGAAGAAAGCCUUGGGGCUAAUACCCUCGAGGAAGGACAUCACCCACAGAAGAAGCACCGGCUAACUCCGUGCCAGCAGCCGCGGUAAUACGGAGGGUGCGAGCGUUAAUCGGAAUUACUGGGCGUAAAGCGCGCGUAGGCGGUCUGUUAAGCCGGUUGUGAAAGCCCCGGGCUCAACCUGGGAACGGCAUCCGGAACUGUCAGGCUAGAGUGCAGGAGAGGAAGGUAGAAUUCCCGGUGUAGCGGUGAAAUGCGUAGAGAUCGGGAGGAAUACCAGUGGCGAAGGCGGCCUUCUGGACUGACACUGACGCUGAUGUGCGAAAGCGUGGGUAGCAAACAGGAUUAGAUACCCCAGUAGUC